CGUUAGCUCAAUUGGUAGAGCAGCUGACUCUUAAUCAGUAGGUUGUAGGUUCGAUUCCUACACGGC
rnacentral:tRNA from 1 species